GACAGAGGGUGCAAACGUUGUUCGGAAUUACUGGGCGUAAAGCGCGUGUAGGCGGUUCGGAAAGUCGGAUGUGAAAGCCCUGGGCUUAACCCAGGAAGUGCACUCGAAACUCCCGAACUAGAGUCCUGGAGAGGAAGGCGGAAUUCUCGGUGUAGAGGUGAAAUUCGUAGAUAUCGGGAGGAAUACCAGUGGCGAAGGCGGCGACCUGGGCCAAUACUGACGCUGAGGUGCGAAAGCGUGGGGAGCAAACAGG
rnacentral:rRNA from 1 species